rnacentral:sRNA from 1 species
UUUUAGCCCCGAUUGUAGUGGAAAUCCUGUCAUUGCGUUGCAAAAUUAUGAUGAGAUUGCUUCGUUUCCUCGCAAUGACAGAUUGUAACGAAAAGCGGGAAUAUGG